ACUCUUUCGCCGCGCCGCGGCUGUGCCUAUAUUCCCUUUGCCGUUCGCAAGACCGGCUAUGGCGAUAAACAGACUUCGAAAUAAGCCUUUCGGACCCGGGGGCAGUACCCGGCGCCUCCACCCAAGCCCUUGGCGAUCAAGGGUUUCGGCGGGGGCGAAACAGGAUCGACGAGGGUGUAAAGGUUGUCCUUUUGCUCGGCAUGGUUCCGCCGUUAUCGGGCCAAAGCAUAGUUGCCAACGACAACAAUGCUCGGGUCGCCGUCGCCGCGUAAGCGGUGCAGGUACCCAAACCAAAGCCCUUGCGUUUAGCCGCGUAAGGCGGGGCUCGGAGGCGCCUGGCAACAGAAGCCUCCACU
rnacentral:tmRNA from 2 species